rnacentral:rRNA from 1 species
UACAGAGGGGGCAAGCGUUAUUCGGAAUUAUUGGGCGUAAAGGGCGCGUAGGCGGCCUUGCAAGUGGAAGGUGAAAUCCCUCGGCUUAACCGAGGAACUGCCCUCCAAACUGCUUGGCUUGAGUCCGGGAGAGGUGAGUGGAACUCCGAGUGUAGAGGUGAAAUUCGUAGAUAUUCGGAAGAACACCAGUGGCGAAGGCGGCACACUGGCCCGGUACUGACGCUGAAAUACGAAAGCGUGGGGAGCAAACAGG